rnacentral:rRNA from 1 species
AUGGCGCCGCGCGGCUGCAAGAAGAAGAAGAGGGACAUCAAGAGGAGCCCCGUGUCCGAUCUCUCGGACGACCUCCUGGUCGAGAUCAUCUCGCUCGUGCCCUACAAGUCCACCCGCUGCUGCAAGUGCGUCUCCCGGCGGUGGCGCGACCUCGUCUCCCACCCCGACCACCGCAAGAAGCUGCCCCGGUCGACCCUCGCCGGCAUAUUCUACCAAACCUUCAGAGGGGAACGCUUCCCAGCUAUGCUUUGUGGUCACCAAAGCGUGUCAGGGAACUGGUGCACUAGCAUGGACUGCUCCCUCUCGUUCCUGCCCAACUGCAAGAGAGUUAACAUGUACCUGCUGGACAGCUGCAAUGGCCUCCUCCUCUGUCUUUUCUGGAACCAACCUUCUCAUGUCAAUGGAUUUGAUUACGUGGUGUGCAAUCCCGCUACUGAGAAAUGGGUGACCCUACCUGCCACCACCUGGUCCAGCAAGGUGCGGACUGCCCGCCUUGGGUUCGACCCCUCUGUCUCCUCCCACUUCCAUGUGUUUGAGUUUGUUUCUACUACUGGUGUUGUGGAGGUGAAUAUGCAGGGUCAUGAUACAGGCAAGAAAACAGUGGGGGUCUAUUCCUCUAAAACUGGAGUUUGGACGCAUGGAGUUGUCUGGGACAGUCCACUUUCGAUAUCCCGUUUUCCAAGAAGCAUAUUUUUCAACAAGAUGCUGCAUUUUUCUUCAGAUAAUAAUUUGGUUGUAGCAAUUGAUGUGGAGGGAAAUCGCAGGUUCAUUCGUGGCCCCAUGCCAGAUUCUGCUCGUGGUGUUCCUAAUGUUUAUCUAUCACGGGGACAAUUGCAUUUGGCAAAUGAGAGUGUUUCUGAACUCUCAAUCUGGGCUCUUGAGGAUUUUAGUAGUGAAAGCUGGACCCUGAAGCACAGUGUUAGCCACUUACAACUGCUGGGAACAGAGUAUUCAAUGUUCGCGGGGAACUACAGAGUAAUCUCAAUCCACCCAGAACACAAUGUGAUAUUUAUUGUAUGUGAGCAGUUGUACAUGCUGACUGGCCCAUCACUGACGAAACUAAUGGCAUAUGAAAUUGAUUCCGGGGAGCUGCGUUUUAUAUGUGAUCUUGAAUGGGGUUGCAGGACUCCUUAUCUUCCUUAUGUUCCCUUGCUCUCGGAGCCAUCUGCAGAUGGGCAAUAG